AGUAGAGAGGGCGCGACGGCGAGUAUAACUAGGUUAAUCCCGUCGUUUGAGGAGCUUCUCUUCUCCGUUGGCAUCGGAUUCCGGUGGAAGGAAAUGGCGGGAGGUUCGUCGCCGUGCAUCUUCUGCCAAAUCGCCAGCUCUUCCACCUCGACGACGCUCCUCCACAAUGAUGAGAAGGUGGUCGCUUUUCAGGACAUUAAUCCAUCCGCAUUCAGGCACUACUUGGUUAUUCCCAAGCAGCACAUUCCUACUGUCAGAAAUCUUCAGAGAAGAGCAGACGACUACUCUUUAGUUAGUCAUAUGCUGAAUGUGGGCCAAAUGCUAUUAAAUCGCGAUGCACCUCAAACAGUAUAUAGAUUUGGCUUUCAUCAGCCACCAAUGAACAGCGUUAAUCAUUUGCAUCUUCAUUGUUUGGCACUGCCAUUCAUCCCUAGAUGGAGACAAAUAAAAUACACACCCCUGGGACCAGUCGGCUUUAUUGAAGCAGACAAGUUGCUGAAGAAAUUGAAACCCUUGACACCCAACUUGAUUCAGCAAUUCGAUGAUAGUUGAGGGGGGGAUGACAUUAUGAUAGGUGAACUCCCAAAGUCCCCGGCAGAGGAAUGAAUGACAGUACUCUUAAUUGUUGAAGAUCUUUUUGAGGGGUAACAACGAAAUUCUAGAGGGAACAAUAAUCACCUCGAGGCUGAUCCAGUGGACCCUGCUAGCUGAAAGGAACAAGGUACACGCACAAUUUGCUUUCACGAUCCCUAGAUAUAUUGUAAUGGUCCCAAGGGGCGAGGGACUCGGUGGCCGGUGCUCAGCUAAAAUAUCUUUCCGAAAUCCAAGAGAUCACGAUAAGUUCUUCUUCCUGAUCUGCGUUUGAAGGGGAAUAAAUCUCUAGGUUCUGUGUCGAAUAUCUAAGUCCAUGCAAGGCCCAUAUGUCUUACAAGGGCAGAAGAGCGCUAAUCAACGGCUUUCGUUCUCAUUCAUGCAUGUGAGCAUAAGGCUAGCAUGUGCAGAUGCCUCAGCUCUCGAGAAAAUAUUAAACCUUUGAUUUUUAUCCUAAAAUCAACUAGCAAUCUUGAAGAACGUCAAGAUUCUGAAGUGAAUAAAAGAAGUGGCAAGCCAUUACUAAA